rnacentral:sRNA from 1 species
AAGAGCCGGAUGACGGGAGACUGUCACGUCCGGUUCCGUGGAAGCGCAGGGGGGAAGUUCCCUUGCGCGCCGCGAUAACCCCAGCCUGGCUCAAUCGGUGGUCGGUUGCAGCUCGCGUACUGGCGGUUGCUUAUGUUGCAUAGCCCGCCACAGGUCAUAAUUAGCUUGAAGAUUAAUCCAGAA